UGCACGGUGGCGCAGUUGGUAGCUGUUGCCCUGUAGCAAGAAGGUCCUGGGUUCGAUUCCCGGCCGGGGGUCUUUCUGCAU